AGAGUUUGAUCCUGGCUCAGAUUGAACGCUGGCGGCAGGCCUAACACAUGCAAGUCGAGCGGAUGAGUGGAGCUUGCUCCAUGAUUCAGCGGCGGACGGGUGAGUAAUGCCUAGGAAUCUGCCUGGUAGUGGGGGACAACGUUUCGAAAGGAACGCUAAUACCGCAUACGUCCUACGGGAGAAAGUGGGGGAUCUUCGGACCUCACGCUAUCAGAUGAGCCUAGGUCGGAUUAGCUAGUUGGUGAGGUAAAGGCUCACCAAGGCGACGAUCCGUAACUGGUCUGAGAGGAUGAUCAGUCACACUGGAACUGAGACACGGUCCAGACUCCUACGGGAGGCAGCAGUGGGGAAUAUUGGACAAUGGGCGAAAGCCUGAUCCAGCCAUGCCGCGUGUGUGAAGAAGGUCUUCGGAUUGUAAAGCACUUUAAGUUGGGAGGAAGGGCAGUAAGUUAAUACCUUGCUGUUUUGACGUUACCAACAGAAUAAGCACCGGCUAACUUCGUGCCAGCAGCCGCGGUAAUACGAAGGGUGCAAGCGUUAAUCGGAAUUACUGGGCGUAAAGCGCGCGUAGGUGGUUCGUUAAGUUGGAUGUGAAAGUCCCGGGCUCAACCUGGGAACUGCAUCCAAAACUGGCGAGCUAGAGUAUGGCAGAGGGUGGUGGAAUUUCCUGUGUAGCGGUGAAAUGCGUAGAUAUAGG
rnacentral:rRNA from 1 species